CUUCAAGGAACCGACGUACAACGGCCGUUCGGCGGGGCGAUCGCUCCCGUACGUCGCGAUCAGCGCCUGUGCCUC
rnacentral:antisense_RNA from 1 species